GACGAACCGUGCGAACGUUGUUCGGAAUCACUGGGCUUAAAGGGCGCGUAGGCGGGCGUGACAGUCAGGGGUGAAAGCCCACGGCUCAACCGUGGAAGUGCCUUUGAUACUUCAUGCCUUGAGGGAGGUAGGGGCGUGCGGAACUUCCGGUGGAGCGGUGAAAUGCGUAGAUAUCUGGAGGAACACCGGUGGCGAAGGCGGCAUCCUGGACCGAUACUGACGCUGAGGAGCGAAAGCCAGGGGAGCAAACGGG
rnacentral:rRNA from 1 species